rnacentral:rRNA from 1 species
CAGCAGCCACGGUAAUACGAAGGGUGCAAGCGUUAAUCGGAAUUACUGGCGUAAAGCGCGCGUAGGUGGUUCAUUAAGUUGGAUGUGAAAGCCCUGGGCUCAACCUGGGAACUGCAUCCAAAACUGGUGAGCUAGAGUACGGUAGAGGGUAGUGGAAUUUCCUGUGUAGCGGUGAAAUGCGUAGAUAUAGGAAGGAACACCAGUGGCGAAGGCGACUACCUGGACUGAUACUGACACUGAGGUGCGAAAGCGUGGGGAGCAAACAGGAUUAGAUACCCGCGUAGUCCCUGUCUCUUAUACA